AAGAGUGAAUGCCUGGGAACUGGGGAUUUGACCUACAUGGGAGUUUGACAUGCAGCAGCAUCUGAGCUUCAUUGGUGUUUUUUUUUGUUGUUGUUGUUUUUUUUCUUCUCAGUGGUGACCAGCAAAACAAACACCUGCCAAGGACCCCCUGCUUGAGGCUGUUUUAUUCCUGGUGCCAGGAGGAUGCUCCAGUGGGUGCCCAGAGUGCCCGGGUGUCACGCUCUCUUCCAGGUCUCCCCCUGCUGCCUGUGCUGCUGACCCCAGCCCUCUGCCCCUGGCCCUCAAAGCUCUGCAGGCUCCUGCUCUGCGCUCAGCAUGCUCCUCCCUGGUGGACCCCGGCCCUCUGAGGAAUCGCUCUGGAGCUCGAGGCCAGCCUACAGGGAGAGCAUUUUUCAUCCUUUCCAAACGUGAAAAGAGUGGCCAUCUGCACAGACCCCGUCACGCGAAAUCGGCACGAAAGCGGCUCUUUGGGGAAGGUGAUACGGCUGUGCCGCUGCCUCCUCUUGUGCCAGGGCUCCUCCCACUGGUCUCCCAUCCCUGGUAGGAAAUGGAGUCAAAGGUCUCCGAAGGCGGCCUGAACGUCACCCUCACCAUCCGGCUGCUGAUGCACGGCAAGGUAAAGGCUCCUGGCAGGGCUACACCCCUCUCCCUUUCCUGCUUGGGUUAUAUUCAUGUCUUGCAACAUCAUUUAUU
rnacentral:lncRNA from 1 species